GCUAGGACAUUUACUGAGCCUUUAGCUCCCUAUAGAGAACAGCAUCAUUACAAGCAUCCAGGUCUCCAAAGCCAUGCGCGUCUUCACAGCUGCCAGUACACUCGUACUGCUCCUGCUUGCGCUUUCUCGUGCAGUGUCCUCGCGAUCACUGAUGCCGAUGACACUCCAAAGUGGGCUCUCCUCGACAGGAUCUUCCAUGGGGGGUGAAGGUACAGAACUUGAAGAAAGGUCUCUCGCCGAAAGGAACCUAGCCACAGAGCGGCUCUUACCAGAAGAACGCUCCAACAUGGAGUCGCCCCUGGUUGCGUAUCCACCCUUCAAGUGAAGAUGUUUGUCAGAAGCUCCUAAUGUUCGCAAAAAUUUACUGCGAAAACCCUCAGGGUGC